UUCUAAGUCUUAUUAUAGGGCUGGGCGAUAUGGCUUAAAAAUAAUAUCGCCAUAUUUUUAGGCAAUAUCGCGAUACACGAUAUAUCGCCAUAUUUUCAAAUAUCCUCUAAGCACCUCAUAAAUGCUCGAUUUAACCCUUUGAUGCAUACAAUCACACCAAUAUGAUGAUUCUUGUAGUCCCUGCAGCAUCUGUCUGCAUUAAAACCUUCUUGUUUAUAUUCAUUAGUGGUUUUCUGUUGGAACAAUUUUGCGAAAACUGCAGUCUUGUCCACUUAUUCAGGCUGACAGCUUUGGUUCUGUUAGCUGGACGUUCAUAUUUUGGAUCAAGUGUCUUAAUGAGUCUUUUGAAUCAGGGCUUUUCAACUACGCUGACCAGCGUUGCGAUGUAGUUUACAGCGGCCGUGAUUUCUUUGCAUUUUGCAGUUUUUCGUCAUAUGGGAUUGCUUUGGAAAGCGAGGAAGCCAGAGUUAUUCGAUCAUCGACUAUAUUCGAUGUAUCGCCCACCCCUAAUUAGAGUGUUUGAACUCGUAAGUUGAUUUACCUCAAAAAAAUGAUCCGCUGAUUUACAGACAUCUCUUCCCCUAUGUAAGUCUGUGGGAAAAAGUAUUUUUGGUCCCAGUGGCAUCACAUGACGAAUCUGGAGGUUGUAACACUGAAUUCACACCAGUCAGCGACAAAGUGUGGCUCGCCGCAAUAUUUACAUUUUCUGCGUCCGGGAGGCAUCUAUUCGUUGAGGCAGGAAGAAAUUCCUUGUAAGAAAUUCAUGUUUUUUGAAUGACAUCAGAUCUAAAAUGUUAUUCCUUCAUUUAGCGCAGAGAUUUCAAAAGUGGCAGACAAAAAAAAGAAACUUGCCUGCCACUGAUCGAACUGUGAUGAUGUGUUCAAAAUCAAAAUUGAUAUCGAUUCAUUAAUAUUAGGGGGUCUUUCUCCCUGUGGACUCUCGCUGCACGUCUCUCCUCUCUGCCGCGCUGGAGCUGCACGAGUCAUCCAAACUGAUCAAAUCAUGUGGGCACAAAAUACAGGAGCUAUAUCCAACAUUACGAGUAAAAGGAUGUCUGUCAUCUUAUCAAUUGUUGCGAUCUUUCGCCAGAAAUGAGUGCGUUCUGGAUAGACUGUAUAAGUAAGUCCGUUCAUCGCUCUCUCUCUCUCCCUCGCUCUGCGUAUUCUCUCUCUCUCUCUCUCUCUCUCUCUCUCAGGUGCAAGCUGUCGAGCGCCAAUAUGCAAUUACAACCAACCAAACCAAUAAUUGUUUUGGGAUUGCUUGUGACAGCCCUAGUGUCCACCUUCAGUUGCACUCGCAAAAUCAAUCUGCGCACCGUUGAUAGAGCCACCGCAAACCCUUGCGUGAAUCGAAGCUUCGAUGCAAACAAUUUGCGGUUUUCGUAAUCAAUUUACUUGAGUGCACGAGGAAUCGUUUCAGCCCUAAGAGUCACAGAUCCAAUAUUUGCACUGAAAGUUCAACCGAAGUUGAACUCCACAGGAAUGUGAAGGUGCCAAUUUGCUUCGUCGCCGAAAGCAAAAGUUUUUUCUCCCCUUCGCAGGUACGGAAUGGAAGUGAACGGCAGACAAAUGUUAAUUUCGCACGUGUGACCGGGCCUUAAUACAGCAUUUCUUGCCGGGAACGUUGCCGCAGACACCCAGUUUGUAAUACUGCAAAUAUAUCAUCAGUGGGUCACAUAAGCUCAAUCGCCAUUGUGUUACCAAAUACGCUGAUAAAUAGUGACUUAACUGAAUUUUGCUUCAAUGAAAAUCUUCGAGAUUGGCACUUUAACAUCAAGGUCAUAGCAAAUAAGAUCAAGAAGGUAUCCCUGGGAUUUGCUAAAAUAAACCAUUAUUUGUUUGAGAGUUUCACACCGGACAAGCUGUUCCAUUCCACCUAGUGUAGUGAAAGAAACAAUUGCUAUGUUUUUGAAUACAAAAGCCCAUCUAGGAUCAAGUUUUCAACAGAAAGUACGUUAUAAACAGCAGCCAGGAUAGACACGCCUCUUUCCAACCAAUUGCCAAGCAAUCUGUGUAGUAAGAUGAGACAGGCUUUUAACCCUGUAGGUACUGUACGCAGGUACUCCUCAUAAAGAGGACUCCCUACCUCACUGCUCUGAUUGUGAGGAAAUGUAAUCAGACUCGAACCAGAAGCAAAUUUGCGAGCGGAGUGGGGCCUCUUGUCUGCAGGGCCUUUUUGCUGGCGGGUAGUAUAGUAGAGGAACAAAGCUGUCUAUACAGAAAGGCAGCUGGUUAACACAACAGUUUCAUUACAAAGGUGGUGGAGUGCUAUGGUUACAAUAGCUAGAAGCAUGGGGCUUUGACAGAGCAACAGUUUACAGCCGUUUGCUGUGAUUCAGGCACAUUUUGGAGCAUUUAACCUGCUCACGUCAUACAUUCAUUCAUACAUAAAUACAUACAAUCGAUUGAACCAUUUAAUUAGGAUAAAUCGCAAAUUAAUCACACAUUUUCAUCACACAACAAUGACAAAUAUUGUCCAGAAACCCUCACAGGUACUGC